GCCCUGGUGGUUCAGUGGUGGAAUUCUGAUCUUCCAUACAGGGUACCUGGGUUCGGUUCCUGGCCAGUGCA
rnacentral:tRNA from 1 species